rnacentral:pre_miRNA from 1 species
CUUGUACUCCCUCCGUCCGGAAAUACUUGUCAUCAAAAUGAAUAAAAGGGGAUGUAUCUAGACACAUUUUAGUUUGGGAUACAUCUCUUUUUAUCCAUUUUGAUGACAAGUAUUUUCGGACGGAGGGAGUAGAUC